GGGGAGCAAACAGGAUUAGAUACCCUGGUAGUCCACGCCGUAAACGAUGUCUACUUGGAGGUUGYGGCCUUGAGCCGUGGCUUUCGGAGCUAACGYGUUAAGUAGACCGCCUGGGGAGUACGGUCGCAAGAUUAAAACUCAAAUGAAUUGACGGGGGCCCGCACAAGCGGUGGAGCAUGUGGUUUAAUUCGAUGCAACGCGAAGAACCUUACCUACUCUUGACAUCCAGAGAACUUUCCAGAGAUGGAUUGGUGCCUUCGGGAACUCUGAGACAGGUGCUGCAUGGCUGUCGUCAGCUCGUGUUGUGAAAUGUUGGGUUAAGUCCCGCAACGAGCGCAACCCUUAUCCUUGUUUGCCAGCACUUCGGGUGGGAACUCCAGGGAGACUGCCGGUGAUAAACCGGAGGAAGGUGGGGACGACGUCAAGUCAUCAUGGCCCUUACGAGUAGGGCUACACACGUGCUACAAUGGCGCAUACAGAGGGCRGCCAACUUGCGAGAGUGAGCGAAUCCCAAAAAGUGCGUCGUAGUCCGGAUCGGAGUCUGCAACUCGACUCCGUGAAGUCGGAAUCGCUAGUAAUCGUGGAUCAGAAUGCCACGGUGAAUACGUUCCCGGGCCUUGUACACACCGCCCGUCACACCAUGGGAGUGGGCUGCAAAAGAAGWAGGUAGUUUAACCUUCGGGAGGACGCAAACCAUAG
rnacentral:rRNA from 1 species